rnacentral:tRNA from 1 species
GGAGGGAUGGCCGAGUGGCUGAAGGCAGUGGUUUGCUAAACCGCCAUACGGUUGAAAAGCCGUAUCGAGGGUUCGAAUCCCUCUUCCUCCGCCA